ensembl:lncRNA
CCCCUCCCUCUCUCAGCCUAUAGUGUAAAUAUGCUCCCUGCUUAGUAAAGUCUGGCUCUAGUGUUUCAGUAAGUUUGUAUGCUCUGUAAAUGCUAUCAGCUUUUAAACCUGUAAUUAAUGUUACAUUUCCAACAAAGAAAUGAAUUAAACAUCUGUAAUAAAUGAUUCUACUGACUUGGACCUGUUGUACUGUGGUGUGUUAGGUAGUACUGUGGUGUGUUAAACCUGUAGUACUGUGGUGUGUUAGGUAGUACUGUGGUGUGUUAAACCUGUAGUACUGUGGUGUGUUAAACCUGUAGUACUGUGGUGUGUUAAACCUGUAGUACUGUGGUGUGUUAGGUGGUGUGUUAGGUAGUACUGUGGUGUGUUAGGUAGUACUGUGGUGUGUUAGGUAGUACUGUGGUGUGUUAAACCUGUAGUACUGUGGUGUGUUAAACCUGUAGUACUGUGGUGUGUUAGGUAGUUCUGUGGUGUGUUAGGUAGUACUGUGGUGUGUUAGGUAGUACUGUGGUGUGUUAAACCUGUAGUACUGUGGUGUGUUAAACCUGUAGUACUGUGGUGUGUUAGGUAGUACUGUGGUGUGUUAGGUAGUACUGUGGUGUGUUAGGUAGUACUGUGGUGUGUUAGGUA